GGAAUGUUGGCUCCCUCAUGUCCUCUUACAGUUUGGUAUCCUUGCUGCUGUAGGUCAAAUGAUUUUCCAUCACUCUAGCCUUUGGGAACUAAGGUGCCAGAUUCUCUGAAGAGAGCAUUGUCCCAAUAAAGGAAAAUCAUGAAGGCACUGGAUAUUUUAACUGUGGAACAUAAGAGAGAACGGAGAUGGAGUUGUUGGUGCAGAUUUCCAAGGAUGAAGUUGUCUGAGUGCAGCCAAAGCUUUCAGUCAAGAAACAAGGUGCCCCCUACUGAUGAGGAAAAGAUGACAGCACAGAGGAACUAUAUGAUCAAUUCAUCUGGAGCUGGAAUAACCAUGGAUGAAAUAAUUUUCCUCAGAAUGAAAUAAUAAAAAAUAUCCUCAAGCAAAGUUCUCCAAUACCUGAGAACAUUAUUCUCUGAAAAAUAGAGGAUAUUCAAUAAAAGUUCAGAUGGAGGGCUAA